rnacentral:rRNA from 1 species
GAUGAACGCUGGCGGCGUGCCUAAUACAUGCAAGUCGAACGCACUGACGUCGACAGAAGGUGUUUGCACUGGAAGUUGAUUGACGUGAGUGGCGGACGGGUGAGUAACACGUGAGUAACCUGCCCUUAAGCGGGGGAUAACAUUUGGAAACAGAUGCUAAUACCGCAUAAAAGUUGAGAUCACAUGGUCUUAAUUUGAAAGACGGCCUUUGGCUGUCACUUAAGGAUGGACCCGCGGCGUAUUAGCUAGUUGGUGAGAUAAUAGCCCACCAAGGCGAUGAUACGUAGCCGACCUGAGAGGGUAAUCGGCCACAUUGGGACUGAGACACGGCCCAAACUCCUACGGGAGGCAGCAGUAGGGAAUCUUCCACAAUGGACGAAAGUCUGAUGGAGCAACGCCGCGUGAGUGAAGAAGGUUUUCGGAUCGUAAAACUCUGUUGUUGGAGAAGAACAGGGACUAGAGUAACUGUUAGUCCUUUGACGGUAUCCAACCAGAAAGCCACGGCUAACUACGUGCCAGCAGCCGCAGUAA